GAUGAACGCUAGCGGGAGGCUUAACACAUGCAAGUUGAGGGGCAGCAUAGGGUAGCAAUACCCUGAUGGCGACCGGCAGACGGGUGAGUAACGCGUAUGCAACCUACCCUGUACAGGGGGAUAACCCGGAGAAAUUCGGACUAAUAUCCCAUAGUAAUAUCCGGAGGCAUCUUUGGAUAUUUAAAGUUCCGGCGGUACGGGAUGGGCAUGCGUAACAUUAGCUAGUUGGUAGGGUAACGGCCUACCAAGGCUAUGAUGUUUAGGGGUCCUGAGAGGGUGAUCCCCCACACUGGUACUGAGACACGGACCAGACUCCUACGGGAGGCAGCAGUGAGGAAUA
rnacentral:rRNA from 1 species